GCCUUGUGCGGAUUGUAGCAUCGCAGUCCAAGGAUUGAAACUUAUUUCGAAACUCCACUGGGUAAGCGACACACGGAACUGCAAACAAAGUCAUGAAGUAGUUCCUCGUCUUGACGUCUGUAAUGCUGUCUAUGGAGGCAGAGUCAACGCUAUAAGACUCUUGUGCCACGUAAAGGACGGAUGAUGUGUUAAAUACGUCGGCUUUACAUCACUCUAUCCAAGGAUCAAUAAAUACUUCCAAGCAUGGUGAUCUUUCGUUUCUAUCGAACUUCUAAAAUCAAUGAAACAACACGAGUACUGUGAAUCGAUAAGUGAGCAUGCGUAAAGAUAACUCAGCAUCUAUCAGCGUCACAAGUUUGUGUUUUGAGCAAGCUCGUAAAGAACAGAAUGGUCUAUUGGAAUUCAAUGAAACCAGACAUCCGACACUUGACAUAAAAUCCAGCUAAUAACAAUUGUAUACUAGAGAAAAUGUUUACACCUGAAUAAAAAACUUUGAAAAAAUCUAGUUUCAAAGUAAAUAAUUUCCUAAUACAGCAGAGAAAAGUAGAAAUUCAAGGGAAAAUAUUUAUCAGGUUUUCAAUGGAAUAUUUUCGGUUCAAGAACAGGGUAUUUUAUGACAUAGAUUUAAAAGAGGUUUUUAACUUAGUUAAGAAGAUGUAAUAUAAAUUUCACUACAAAGUAAAUUUGGGAGGUCACUAACGUAUUUUUAGCAUGGUUACUUAAAUAUUAUAACAAUUUCG
rnacentral:lncRNA from 1 species